rnacentral:rRNA from 1 species
CCUACGGGAGGCUGCAGUGGGGAAUAUUGGACAAUGGGGGGAACCCUGAUCCAGCGACGCCGCGUGAGUGAAGAAGUAUUUCGGUAUGUAAAGCUCUAUCAGCAGGGAAGAAAAUGACGGUACCUGACUAAGAAGCCCCGGCUAACUACGUGCCAGCAGCCGCGGUCAUACGUAGGGGGCAAGCGUUAUCCGGAUUUACUGGGUGUAAAGGGAGCGUAGACGGUGCAGCAAGUCUGAUGUGAAAGGUCGGGGCCCAACCCCGGGACUGCAUUGGAAACUGUUGAACUGGAGUACAGGAGAGGUAAGCGGAAUUCCUAGUGUAGCGGUGAAAUGCGUAGAUAUUAGGAGGAACACCGGUGGCGAAGGCGGCCUGCUGGACUGUGACUGACGUUGAGGCCCGAAGGCGUGGGGAGCAAACAGGAUUAGAUACCCCUGUAGUC